UCUGAAGAUUGGGAAUCUCCAAUGGAAAGUCGAUGGAAACCCUAUGGAACCCAAUGGAACCCUAUGGAACCCAAUGGAACCCUAUGGGAACCCUAUGGAACCCAAUGGAACCCUAUGGGAACCCUAUGGAACUCAAUGGAACCCUAUGGAACCCAAUGGAACCCAAUGGAACCCAAUGAAACCCAAUGGAACCCAGUGGAACCCAAUGGAACCCUAUGGAACCCUAUGGAACCCAAUGAAACCCAAUGGAAACCCUAUGGAACCCUAUGGAACCCAAUGAAACCCAAUGGAAACCCUAUGGAAACCCUAUGGAACCCAAUGAAACCCAAUGGAACCCAAUGGGAACUCAAUGAAAAGCCAAUGGAACCCAAUGGAACCCUAUGGAACCCUAUGGAACCCAAUGGAACCCAAUGGAACCCAAUGGGAGUCAAUGGGAGUCAAUGGGAGUCAGCCCCAUGAGGAGGG
rnacentral:lncRNA from 1 species